AAUCGUCUGCCGCGUUCGCGCGGGUUUUAUAUUUCCUUGAACCGAUGCUCGAUGAGCAAGGGCUUGGAACAUCGCAGGGCAGGUGUGAUCGUCUCGCGUCAGAUGAACCCGAAGCCCUGCUGACCUCGCCCACCUGAACUUCCACCUGGGUUCAGGAAUGCGGCCCGCGGGGCGCGGCAGACACCUU
rnacentral:other from 1 species